GCUAGCUCCAGGAGAGCAGAGUCGAGGAACGAGGUCCGACAUCUGUCAGCCGCCGGCACGGCGCACCGGAGGCCCUGCGCGCGCGGUUGCACACAGUUUCCUAUAUUGGACAAGUGAAGUGUGGUAGCUGCUCACUGACACAAUGGAACAAGUUGACAUUUGGGCGCCCAUCUUGGCCGAUCCUCUUCCAAGUCAACAGCCGGAGAUUAAAGUUCACUCAACAUAUGUGGAUUAUGGCACCAUUGACUUUCAAGCACUCUUAGAAGGACCCCAUGAUUUGGAUAGAUGGCUGAAAGGUGCAUUCAUUCCUACUUAUAUAAAGGAGGCAAAUUUAACUCACGAGGCAAGAUUUCCGCACAUCCAAAAGUACAAACUUGCAAAACAAUUGAACGUGGCAAAUGGCAUUGAAAAUUUGUUUCAUCAUUGCAGAUUGAACCAACUAGUGGUCAUGGCAUGAAAAUGCAAACACCUAUGCCCGCUCCACCGGAGGCGUUGCUUGAGAAAGAGGAGGCCCCUGCCACCACGACUCUCAACGGCGGAGGAGGAAAAGAGGCGGAGAUGAGAGAGGGAGGGGGCAUGUACCCGCCGCCUUGUCACCGGAGAAGCAGGAGGCUUGCGGCCACCGUGACACCGCCGGAGGAGGGGACCGGCGAUCUACUAGGAUAAGUGGAGAAACCUAGUGAAAGCCUGCACGGUCAGGCCCACAUCUAAAAAUGAGAUUUUAUAUCAUAACUUUAUCAAACUCAUCAUGGAGCACCACCGAUUUUUCAUCUCUUACAGUUCUUGAAUUCCAGGGAAAUGUGAAAAGAAGGAUCUCGCCUCGUCUAGAUAAGGAUUGCGUCGAAAAGAUCAAGAGGCUAGCAGCUGAUUACCCUAAAAAAUGAAGUUGCACUCGUGAAUGCUACACGGAACAUCGUACAGUACUUUCGGUGUAGCAGUGACCCCGCAAAAAAAACAAGAGUUAUGUUAUUUUUCUAGAACUGUGA